GAAAUUUCAUCCGCACUAGCGAUAGUAGUUUCCCCGGAAAGAUAUAAAAGUGUCGGGGAAAAGUUUAAUUUAUAAUAUUCAUUAUUAUAUAUGUGCUCCUUUUUUAUUAAUUUUUUUGAGGAUAAGCUCAAAAAAAAGUUAAGAUAUUUUUAGUCAAAAUUACUGUGUGGGCUUAAAAUCGGCCACCCAUAAAAGUUUGUUAUAAAAUAGUAACCUUAAUUUAAAAAAUAAAUAUAUUUUAAUCUAAGCCUUACGGGGAUAAGAACUUUAACUAAAAUUAAGUUUUAUACCUAUGCUAGAAUGAGUAUUAAAACUUAAUUACAAAAGAAAUACUAUUUUAUUUUCUUCUAAAAAUUUUUUAGGAAAAAAUUAAUUAAUUAGAAGGAAUUCGGCAAGUUUAGUCUUCGCCUGUUUAUCAAAAACAUGGCUCUUUGCUUACACAAGUAUAGAGAGUCGAGCCUGCCC
rnacentral:rRNA from 1 species